GUGGCGAACGGGUGAGUAACACGUGAGCAAUCUGCCCUUGACUCUGGGAUAACUGCGGGAAACUGUAGCUAAUACCGGUUACUUUCCUCGCUGGGCAUCCAGCGGGGAAGAAAGAAUUUCGGUCAAGGAUGAGCUCGCGGCCUAUCAGCUAGUUGGUGAGGUAAAGGCUCACCAAGGCGACGACGGGUAGCCGGCCUGAGAGGGUGACCGGCCACACUGGAACUGAGACACGGUCCAGACUCCUACGGGAGGCAGCAGUGGGGAAUAUUGCACAAUGGGCGAAAGCCUGAUGUAGCAACGCCGCGUGAGGGAUGAAGGCCUUCGGGUUGUAAACCUCUUUUAGCAGGGAAGAAGCGAAAGUGACGGUACCUGCAGAAAAAGCACCGGCUAACUACGUGCCAGCAGCCGCGGUAAUACGUAGGGUGCAAGCGUUGUCCGGAAUUAUUGGGCGUAAAGAGCUCGUAGGCGGUUUGUCACGUCUGCUGUGAAAAUCCGAGGCUCAACCUCGGACUUGCAGUGGGUACGGGCAGGCUAGAGUGCGGUAGGGGAGAAGGGAAUUCCUGGUGUAGCGGUGGAAUGCGCAGAUAUCAGGAGGAACACCAAUGGCGAAGGCACUUCUCUGGGCUGUAACUGACGCUGAGGAGCGAAAGCGUGGGGAGCGAACAGGAUUAGAUACCCUGGUAGUCCAC
rnacentral:rRNA from 1 species